rnacentral:rRNA from 1 species
UUAAGUCGACCGCCUGGGGAGUACGGCCGCAAGGUUAAAACUCAAAUGAAUUGACGGGGGCCCGCACAAGCGGUGGAGCAUGUGGUUUAAUUCGAUGCAACGCGAAGAACCUUACCUGGUCUUGACAUCCACGGAAGUUUUCAGAGAUGAGAAUGUGCCUUCGGGAACCGUGAGACAGGUGCUGCAUGGCUGUCGUCAGCUCGUGUUGUGAAAUGUUGGGUUAAGUCCCGCAACGAGCGCAACCCUUAUCCUUUGUUGCCAGCGGUCCGGCCGGGAACUCAAAGGAGACUGCCAGUGAUAAACUGGAGGAAGGUGGGGAUGACGUCAAGUCAUCAUGGCCCUUACGACCAGGGCUACACACGUGCUACAAUGGCGCAUACAAAGAGAAGCGACCUCGCGAGAGCAAGCGGACCUCAUAAAGUGCGUCGUAGUCCGGAUUGGAGUCUGCAACUCGACUCCAUGAAGUCGGAAUCGCUAGUAAUCGUGGAUCAGAAUGCCACGGUGAAUACGUUCCCGGGCCUUGUACACACCGCCCGUCACACCAUGGGAGUGGGUUGCAAAAGAAGUAGGUAGCUUAACCUU